GAUGAACGCUGGCGGCGUGCCUAAUACAUGCAAGUAGAACGCUGAAGCUUGGUGCUUGCACCGAGCGGAUGAGUUGCGAACGGGUGAGUAACGCGUAGGUAACCUGCCUGGUAGCGGGGGAUAACUAUUGGAAACGAUAGCUAAUACCGCAUGACAACAGUUAUUGCAUGAUAACUGUUUAAAAGGGGCAAUUGCUCCACUACCAGAUGGACCUGCGUUGUAUUAGCUAGUUGGUGAGGUAACGGCUCACCAAGGCGACGAUACAUAGCCGACCUGAGAGGGUGAUCGGCCACACUGGGACUGAGACACGGCCCAGACUCCUACGGGAGGCAGCAGUAGGGAAUCUUCGGCAAUGGACGGAAGUCUGACCGAGCAACGCCGCGUGAGUGAAGAAGGUUUUCGGAUCGUAAAGCUCUGUUGUAAGAGAAGAACGAGUGUGAGAGUGGAAAGUUCACACUG
rnacentral:rRNA from 1 species